CAUCGUUUUCGGCUCCUCCCCUAAAUGAAGCAAGCCUCGAUACGCGCUUUACGGAAACGCCCCCUCCAUUACUCGACACACGCCUCGAAGCCUCGGCACAUCACGUAACAUCACUAGUGUUUACUGUGAAAAGCUUGUGCUAGGGAGGUUUGGUGCUCCCUUUUAUUUUUUAAUUUGGAUUGUUUUGAGUUACCUUUAGACUGACUUGUUUGAACUUUUGUAAUUUAAUUUGCACUGCACAUUCUUAAAUUUGUUAGUCAUUUUCUUUCGUUUUCAAUUUGAUUAUAUUGUUCUUUGAAACCACCCUUUUUGUAACAAAUCACCUUUUUUAUUUAACCCCUUUUUUCUCUGGACAUUUUUAUGUUACUGCCCCUGAACCCCUAGACCUUGGGGGGGGGGGGGCUGUAGCAUAAGUGGGGGCUCGUCCGGGACACUCGUUAAGAGGAUCCCUUUGUCCAGAGUUAAAAGAGGAACAUUUUGGGUUGUCUGUAUCCAGCAACCAUGUCAGUUUCAUUUAGUCUGUAGCACUUUUUAGCCGACCCCUCUCUUGACCUUAUUGAUAGCUUCCAUCCAUCUUCUUCCGCUUAUCUGGGGUCGGGUCGCGGGGGUAGCAGCUUCAGAAGGGAGGCCCAGACUUCCCUCUCCCCAGCCACUUCCACCAGUUCCUCCAGAGGGAUGCCAAGGCGUUCCCAGGCCAGCCGAGAGACAUAGUCCCUCCAACGUGUCCUGGGUCUUCCCCGGGGCCUCCUCCCGGUGGGACGUGCCCGGAACACCUCACCAGGGAGGCGUCCAGGAGGCAUCCUGACCAGCUAGCUCUUGAUAGCUGCCGCAAGUGUGAAUUGCUGCAAAUUGUGGAGCAUUUUAAGCUGCAGGUCCCAAAACAGGUCCUUAAAGGGGACCUAAAUGCUCUAAUAGUGGAGAAGUUGGUGGAGAUUGGGGUAAUCAAAGAGCCUACUGUAGUGCCAUGCCAAAAGGCCUUGUUUGUGGAGGACCUCAAGGACAGUCCUUGUGUGGAGGAAGCAGUGAGUAAUCGGGGGAAGACACCUUGCACACUCCCUCGCUAUGACCCACUGUCUUCUGUGAGUUUUAGAAGGAUGAGAUGGAGCUCGUUUGAAGGGGAGGUUGGCACGUCUCCAGAUGGAGGCUGAGGAAAAAGCCCAGGACAGAAGAGCUCAGCUGGAGCUUGAGAUCAGGAGGCUGGAAAUAGAGGCUGACAAAGCUAUAAAGCUGCGCAAACUUGAGCUGGAGGCCCAGGCUCGAGCACCUUCUGCCUCUAUCACACCUGGUUCCACCACCAUGUCUGCUAUGCCAUUUGACAUCAUGAGGAUGAUGCAGAAAGUAAAAGUAACAGCAUGAUGUUACUUCUAGAGUUGGUGGAGCUGGAGGAGCCUGGUCCACUCUGGGAGAAAGCGUCCAUCCCCAUGACCAGCCAACACUUGUCAUCUGCUCCACAAGCUGAUGAAACAUUACAAAAAUGUUUCAAGAAUGUGGUAAGUGCUGAACAAGCCAAUAAAAAGAAACUAGGUGUUUUAAAGCGUCGCUGGUCUUCAUCAUUUGAUAAAAGCUCUAACUGGAGUAAAGUUAAGCAGUCAUGCCACCCCUGACCUGCACGCAAACCAAAUGGUGUUUGUGCUCGAGUUGCAGUCAGAACUCCACUAAUAGUGGCUAAGCUGAACCAUGCAGGUGAGCCAGGGAAAAAUGAUUCCAUUUGUUUUAGUCCUUCUUGUAUUUAUGUCAAUGCUAAAGUUGUGGCAAUUAAUAAUUAUUCCACUCCCAAAACAAAACAAGAAUGGUAUACUCCUUGCUACACACCUGUAUUAGCUGCACCUGAUCUGACAGACCAUUUAUGUUAGAGGUGGAUGCCAGCGCUGUUGAGGCAGGUGCAGUGCUAAUACAGGAAGAUUUGCAGGGUUUAGAUCAUCCUGUUUGCUAUUUCUCCUGCAAGUUCAAUAAACAUCAACUGAAAUAUUCAACCAUUGAAAAAGAAACCUUGGCUCUGUUAUUGGCUCUUCAGCACUUCCAUGUAUAUCUUGGUUCCAGUAGUUUACCAAUCGAUGUCUUCACUGACCAUAACCACCUAGCUUUCCUUUCUCGCAUGUAUAACCACAAUCAGCGCCUUAUGCGGUGGGCUUUACUACUCCAAGAAUACAACCCGAACAUUCAACAUAAAAAAGGAACAGAAAAUGUUCUUGCAGAUGGCCUUUCCAGGUUGACCAGCUGUGACAGCACCCCUUCUGAUUGGCUGCCUGGAAGCUGCAGGAGGCACACCCCAUUGGAUCAGCAGAGCAUGGCAAGCCAAUCAGAGGCUGAUGAGCCUCACCUGUUCCUUUAAAAGGCUCCUGAAACAUUCCUCCAGUGGGGGCAGCUAGUAGGAAGAGGUUCUGUAAAGCUGUUCCCCAUCCUUUUGUUUGCUACUGCUAAAGCAGUUUGAUUGUGUUUACUGUGAAAAGCUUGUGCUAGGGAGGUUUGGUGCUCCCUUUUGUUUUUUGAUUUGUGUUGUUUUGAGUUACCUUUAGACUGACUUGUUUGAACUUUUGUAAUUUAAUUUGCACUGCACAUUCUUAAAUUUGUUAGUCAUUUUCUUCCGUUUUCAAUUUGGUUAUGUUGUUCUGUGAAGCCACCUUUUUUGUAAUAAAUCACCUUUUUUAUUUAAUCCCUUUUUUCUCUGGACAUUUUUAUGUUACCGACCCUGGAUC